AACAAACUCAGGACAAGGUACUCUGGGCGACUGCUUGAAGUAGACACGGCUGAUGGGGUCCACUCUGAGAUUCUGCUCCUGAAUUCUACCCGGGGAAAUGGAGACAAGGACAGGCAGUCACUGCUCUUGAUAGUAACUUCAAAAAAUUGAGGAUUGAGUGUGAUUCUGAAACCUGGAAGUAAGAGACGGAGAAGUUCCUUGCCUGGAUAAAUGAUUUUACAGCGAGCAGAAAGGUAGACGACAACUAUAAAACAUGACGAGGUAACACCAUCCAGUGGUCAUUGCCUGUAGCUGAUACCGACGGCAUGUUUAUAGAACACUGCACUUAUAGAGUGAUGAUCAACUUUGCUUUAUUUUCUCCUUUGGAAAAAGCACCGCUGAAAACCAGGAGCAAGCUAUCUUCUCAUGAAGAUAUCCAGUACCAGAUAGUAUUCCCUUCACUCGGUCACCAGAUAAUCAUAUUUGAAC